CGGCGUGCUUAACACAUGCAAGUCGAGCGAAGCACCUUGACGGAUUUCUUCGGAUUGAAGCCUUGGUGACUGAGCGGCGGACGGGUGAGUAACGCGUGGGUAACCUGCCUCAUACAGGGGGAUAACAGUUGGAAACGGCUGCUAAUACCGCAUAAGCGCACAGUACCGCAUGGUACGGUGUGAAAAACUCCGGUGGUAUGAGAUGGACCCGCGUCUGAUUAGGUAGUUGGUGGGGUAACGGCCUACCAAGCCGACGAUCAGUAGCCGACCUGAGAGGGUGACCGGCCACAUUGGGACUGAGACACGGCCCAAACUCCUACGGGAGGCAGCAGUGGGGAAUAUUGCACAAUGGGGGAAACCCUGAUGCAGCGACGCCGCGUGAGCGAUGAAGUAUUUCGGUAUGUAAAGCUCUAUCAGCAGGGAAGAAAAUGACGGUACCUGACUAAGAAGCCCCGGCUAACUACGUGCCAGCAGCCGCGGUAAUACGUAGGGGGCAAGCGUUAUCCGGAUUUACUGGGUGUAAAGGGAGCGUAGACGGCAUGGCAAGCCAGAUGUGAAAGCCCGGGGCUCAACCCCGGGACUGCAUUUGGAACUGUCAGGCUAGAGUGUCGGAGAGGAAAGCGGAAUUCCUAGUGUAGCGGUGAAAUGCGUAGAUAUACGGAGGAACACCAGUGGCGAAGGCGGCCUGCUGGACAUUAACUGACGCUGAGGCGCGAAAGCGUGGGGAGCAAACAGG
rnacentral:rRNA from 1 species